rnacentral:rRNA from 1 species
GAUGAACGCUGGCGGCGUGCUUAACACAUGCAAGUCGAACGGGAUCCCAGGAGCUUGCUCCUGGGUGAGAGUGGCGAACGGGUGAGUAAUGCGUGACCGACCUGCCCCAUACACCGGAAUAGCUCCUGGAAACGGGUGGUAAUGCCGGAUGCUCCAGUUGGAUGCAUGUCCUUCUGGGAAAGAUUCUAUCGGUAUGGGAUGGGGUCGCGUCCUAUCAGCUUGAUGGCGGGGUAACGGCCCACCAUGGCUUCGACGGGUAGCCGGCCUGAGAGGGCGACCGGCCACAUUGGGACUGAGAUACGGCCCAGACUCCUACGGGAGGCAGCAGUGGGGAAUAUUGCACAAUGGGCGCAAGCCUGAUGCAGCGACGCCGCGUGCGGGAUGACGGCCUUCGGGUUGUAAACCGCUUUUGACUGGGAGCAAGCCCU